rnacentral:lncRNA from 1 species
UGUGUACCUCCGAGAGAGAGGAGUCACUUUCAUCAGACCUAUAGUGAAAGAGUUAGAAUUAUGAGAGAAAGAAUACAGAUGUCAACAGCCCCUGAGACCGCCGUCCUUAGAAAGGCCUGCUUGGAAAACUGGACUUUGGCUGACAUCUAAAAACAGCUCUCAGAGCGUUCCCAGUCAACUGUUAGCCAAUAAAAGUGGCU